rnacentral:rRNA from 1 species
UACGGAGGGUGCAAACGUUGCUCGGAAUCAUUGGGCGUAAAGCGCACGUAGGCGGCCCGCUAAGUCAGACGUGAAAUCCCUCGGCUUAACCGGGGAACUGCGUCUGAUACUGGAUGGCUUGAGAUUGGGAGAGGGAUGCGGAAUUCCAGGUGUAGCGGUGAAAUGCGUAGAUAUCUGGAGGAACACCUAUUGCGAAGGCAGCUCGCUGGGACGUAACUGACGCUGAGACGCGAAAGCGUGGGGAGCAAACAGG